GAAAGUUUGUGGAGCGAGCGUCGGGGAACGUCGUCUAUAUUUGUCGCGUUCCUAAAUUAACGUUAGAGCUAGAAGAUACGGAAAGAAUGAGAUUUGCUGAUGUGUUUACAUGCCUGUUGAUGUUUCUGUCCAACUAACUGGUAGUGUCAGUUUCGUUAAUGUCGAGAAAACAAUUGGCAUUCAUUGCCCCAUGGAGCUGUCAAGUGACACUCGCCCGACUCGGGUCCGAGACGCGUACGGGCCCACGUGUUCAAGACGAUAUGCUGACCUGCUGGUGCUGCUGAUCGCAUAUACCCAUGCUUACCCUACAUUGUACCUGCAGAUUGCCGCCCAGGCCAUUGCUCUUUAGAAAAUGCAGGGCACUCGAAGUCUCAUCGAUCGGAUUGAAACUCCCAAAACUGAAGAUCUGAUCUAGUUUGAAGCGCAGUCUUUUCAAUGUUGCUGCCUACAAGUUCCAGAGCCUGUCCAGUUCCUGUUCUGAUGUAGCAGCCUUCCCAGCCCAUGACUCUGUUCAGGUUUGGUGCAUGUAACUCGGCCCUAUCCCCUGUUUCCUUGCUUCAAGGCAGGUGAGUCUUGUUUUAAACAUUUAUGGACCAUUUUAAUUGAAAUGGUACAUGUACACGUAUGUACAAAUAUUUUCCCAUAGUCACCAAAACACACAGGAUUAUCCUGUCAUGAUUUCGAUAAUAUUCAGCAAAGGUAGUAUUUUUUUUAAAAGUUUUACUUUUGACCCUCAAUAAAGCUGUUGUUUACCAAUGGAAUUAUACCAAGAUUUCAGAUCAUGUAAAUA
rnacentral:lncRNA from 1 species